rnacentral:rRNA from 1 species
CCUACGGGCGGCAGCAGUGGGGAAUAUUGCACAAUAGGGGAAACCCUGAUGCAGCGACGCCGCGUGAAGGAUGAAGUAUUUCGGUAUGUAAACUUCUAUCAGCAGGGAAGAAAAUGACGGUACCUGACUAAGAAGCCCCGGCUAACUACGUGCCAGCAGCCGCGGUAAUACGUAGGGGGCAAGCGUUAUCCGGAUUUACUGGGUGUAAAGGGAGCGUAGGCGGUCUAGCAAGUCAGAAGUGAAAGCCCGGGGCUCAACUCCGGGACUGCUUUUGAAACUGUUGAACUAGAGUGCAGGAGAGGUAAGUGGAAUUCCUGGUGAAGCGGUGAAAUGCGUAGAUAUUAGGAGGAACACCAGUUGCGAAGGCGGCUUACUGGACUGUAAAUGACGCUGAGGCUCGAAAGCGUGGGGAGCAAACAGGAUUAGAUACCCUAGUAGUC